rnacentral:rRNA from 1 species
UACGGGGGGAGCAAGCGUUGUUCGGAUUUACUGGGCGUAAAGGGCGCGUAGGCGAUCAGCACAAGUCAAUUGUGAAAUCUCCGAGCUUAACUCGGAAAGGUCAACUGAAACUGUGCGACUAGAGUGCGGAAGGGGCAACUGGAAUUCUUGGUGUAGCGGUGAAAUGCGUAGAUAUCAAGAGGAACACCUGCGGCGAAGGCGGUUGCUGGGCCGACACUGACGCUGAAGCGCGAAAGCCAGGGGAGCGAACGGG